UCUAAGAUGUCCUUAGACGGUGGCUCGAUCCAAAGACUCCUAAGAGGGCAAAGUUCUUUCUGCAUUUGCCACAUUGUUGGUUUAGGGAACUGCUUACGCGGAUAGUACCUGGCUUCAUCAAACGAGUAGGAUACACAUCCCUUGCAAUCUAAACCAUACUUUGGGAAGUACACACUGUUCCUCAUCCCAAGAACAUCCAAUCUCGUCUCCGAGGAAUACAUACUUGCAAAGAUUGUCACGCCGUCAAGAGUAGUACUAUUCAUCUCCUCCAAAUUUGAGGAGACAAGUUUAUACACCAUCGGUAUCUCGCUGCUACAUGUAUACAUGAGAAAGAGCUCUCCUUUCUGCUCAGCCAAGUAAAUUCUCUUCGGAAGAUUAAACCAUUCAGCAUUAUCAUUGCGCAUAUAAGCGCAUCUAUGUUCAUUCCAUGCUUGCUCACUCAUUGUGCGGGAAGCUAGAUCAAGGUCAACUAAAACACCUCCCGAGCUAAAAGAAAGCAAUCGCUUGAAAGGACAACUCACACUUUGGCAAGUUUAUAAGCUCCCUAGUAUACGGGUUGAAGAAGAACAUGUCCACUAAACUGGAUCUUCGCAUAAGCAACCAUCCGUCUUUCGAGUAACAAACAUCGGUUCCAACUACCUCGGGUAAAUUCAGUGUGUACCUCUUCCGUUCCAAUGGAUCGAAGAGAAAAGUCAUGUCUUCAUGGUUCGGAAAGGUGAUAACCCAUGGAUGCUUUUCCACAACCCGAACUGAUUCAGCAGUAGUGAGAGCCUUCUUCUCCAUCCCAUUGUUACUGACAUCUUCGUUUGACCUACAUAUAUAUAGAUUUCGAUCAUCAAAUUAACUUAUAUUUGGGUUUGUUUUUGGAGCGUAAGACAUGAAAUAUAUACAAAGCCAUGACCCAUGAGACUAAAAAUUGUCUCAACUUGAAAGUCCUAAAUUUGUUGCAAGAUGCUUCAAGAAAGCUCAAAAAACAUUAGUCUUUGAAACCCUAAUUAUUAU
rnacentral:sRNA from 1 species